UGUCGGUCCCCUCGCAAUGUGAAGUUGUGAAUCCCGCCAGGCCCGAAAGGGAGCAACGGCAGCAGCGGAAUUGUGUGCUGGGUGUGGCUGGCAUGA
rnacentral:SRP_RNA from 1 species